rnacentral:misc_RNA from 1 species
GAAGAACUGAUGCUGCUUGGAUUCAUAUCACUCCUUCUAACAGCUACCUCAAGCACAAUAGCCAAUAUUUGCAUUCCAUCAAAGUUCUAUGACAGUGCUUUUGCUCCUUGCACUAGGAAUGAGAUUGAUGAAGAACUGGAAGAAAAUACUUCCGAGGGUCGUAAAUUACAAAUGCUUUUUUUUUCUCCUCUCUCAGUCCGGAGAAUGCUGAAUAGCUUGGAUAAGAAUACCUGCAAAGAGGGACAUGAGCCAUUUGUAUCAUAUGAAGGUCUUGAACAGUUGCAUCGCUUCAUCUUCGUCAUGGCAGUCACACAUAUAUUGUACAGUUGCUUAACAA